rnacentral:rRNA from 1 species
AGUGAACGCUGGCGGUAGGCCUAACACAUGCAAGUCGAACGGCAGCACAGUAGGAGCUUGCUCUUACGGGUGGCGAGUGGCGGACGGGUGAGGAAUACAUCGGAAUCUACUUUUUCGUGGGGGAUAACGCAGGGAAACUUACGCUAAUACCGCAUACGACCUACGGGUGAAAGCAGGGGAUCUUCGGACCUUGCGCGAUUGAAUGAGCCGAUGUCGGAUUAGCUAGUUGGCGGGGUAAAGGCCCACCAAGGCGACGAUCCGUAGCUGGUCUGAGAGGAUGAUCAGCCACACUGGAACUGAGACACGGUCCAGACUCCUACGGGAGGCAGCAGUGGGGAAUAUUGGACAAUGGGCGCAAGCCUGAUCCAGCCAUACCGCGUGGGUGAAGAAGGCCUUCGGGUUGUAAAGCCCUUUUGUUGGGAAAGAAAAGCAGCAGGUUAAUACCCCGCUGUUCUGACGGUACCCAAAGAAUAAGCACCGGCUAACUUCGUG